GUGGAAAAGAGGAGUCCUCUCUGGUACUCAGAAGCUCACAUUAUAAAUAUAAUUAGGUGGCAUGCGUCUUUAAUAACACUAGGGUCUGGCCUGGGGGGAAACAAACAGGUGAACUCCUGGAUGAACUAGAUAGCUGCUCAACGGGUGGAACUGGAGAUCAGGAUAGUUGAUAAACUUUGCUUAGCGGUUUUCCCUGCCUUCACUCACUGGGUUCCGCGCUCGGCCUAACCCUUUAGGCUGGCGUACUCCGGGAAAGACGCUAGACGGCGCUGCUGGGACGCACUUUCUCCCGGGAAAGUUCUCUAUCUCAUUCUGGACCGCGAUCGCCCCGACAUGGAACGGCACGCUUGAGCCCCGCUGGACGCCCCGGCUGUUUUGCAAGACUCAGACAGCUGCCAAGGAAAGUGAACGAUGAAGCCACCAUUUCUUUUGGCUCUUGUAGUCAGUUCUGUAGUCAGCACAAAUUUGAAGAUGGUGUCAAAGAGAAAUUCUGGUCAUAUGAAACCAUAUCCACUGGACUGUAGAACAAUAAGCAAUCUUAUGCAUGUUUCAAUAUUUAAAUNNNGUGAAUGUAUGUUUGUUGAGCAAUUAUGAUGCAGAAGCAUACGAUAUUUAAAGAAGAAAGGAGACGAUUCGGGGAAAGUGAAUCUUCAGGGCACAAAGUUGGAGGACUCCUUACAGCAGUGAAUCUCGAGUGAGUGAAUCUGUGCUAUUUAAUAAGAGAGAGCUAAGCUUUCAGCAGAUUCUUGAACUCUUCCAACUGUACUCACACAUCCUGAAAGGCUCAUUAGGAAACUGCUUCUGAAUGCUAAACUGGGAAAUGGGGACAAUGUGGUUACUCUCUUGGCUUUGCCAUCAAGUUAGUUGACUGACCUUGGGCCCACUUGUAAGCUUUCUGGACCUCAGUCUCCUUGUCUACAAAAGAGGAUAAUUCUUAAUGCUGCUUGCCCUAUCCUCACAUGGAUGAACUCGGGAUUAAUUAGAUUAAGAAGUG
rnacentral:lncRNA from 1 species